AUUGAACGCUGGCGGCAGGCCUAACACAUGCAAGUCGAACGGUAACAGGCAGCAGCUUGCUGCUUCGCUGACGAGUGGCGGACGGGUGAGUCAUGUCUGGGAAGCUGCCUGAUGGAGGGGGAUAACUACUGGAUACGGUAGCUACUACCGCAUAAUGUCGCAAGACCAAAGAGGGGGACCUUCGGGCCUCUUGCCAUCGGAUGUGCCCAGGUGGGAGUCGCUUGUUGGUGGGGUAACGUCUCACCAAGGCGGCGAUCCCUAGCUGGUCUGAGAGGAUGACCAGCCACACUGGAACGGAGACACGGACCAGACUCCUACGGGAGGCAGCAGUGGGGAAUAUUGCACAAUGGGCGCAAGCCUGAUGCAGCCAUGCCGCGUGUAUGAAGGAGGCCUUCGGGUUGUAAAGUACGUUCAGCGGGGAGGAAGGGAGUAAAGUUAAGACCUUGGGUCAUUGACGUUACCCGCAGAAGAAGCACCGGCUAACUCCGUG
rnacentral:rRNA from 1 species